rnacentral:rRNA from 1 species
CCUACGGGAGGCAGCAGUGGGGAAUCUUGCGCAAUGGGCGAAAGCCUGACGCAGCCAUGCCGCGUGAAUGAUGAAGGUCUUAGGAUUGUAAAAUUCUUUCACCGGGGACGAUAAUGACGGUACCCGGAGAAGAAGCCCCGGCUAACUUCGUGCCAGCAGCCGCGGUAAUACGAAGGGGGCUAGCGUUGCUCGGAAUUACUGGGCGUAAAGGGAGCGUAGGCGGAUAGUUUAGUCAGAGGUGAAAGCCCAGGGCUCAACCUUGGAAUUGCCUUUGAUACUGGCUAUCUUGAGUAUGGGAGAGGUUAGCGGAACUCCGAGUGUAGAGGUGAAAUUCGUAGAUAUUCGGAAGAACACCAGUGGCGAAGGCGGCUAACUGGCCCAUUACUGACGCUGAGGCUCGAAAGCGUGGGGAGCAAACAGGAUUAGAUACCCUGGUAGUCCACGCCGUAAACGAUGAGUGCUAGUUGUCGGCAUGCANGCAUGUCGGUGACGCGAGCUACGACAUAAGUACACUCCGCCGUCGGGAGGUACGGUCGCGAGAAUAAACUACAAGAAGUAGACGGCGNGAGACGUGCCGACGGACGACGACGAGGGAGGUAGG